UAUACAUGCAAGUCGAACGAACUCUGGUAUUGAUUGGUGCUUGCAUCAUGAUUUACAUUUGAGUGAGUGGCGAACUGGUGAGUAACACGUGGGAAACCUGCCCAGAAGCGGGGGAUAACACCUGGAAACAGAUGCUAAUACCGCAUAACAACUUGGACCGCAUGGUCCGAGUUUGAAAGAUGGCUUCGGCUAUCACUUUUGGAUGGUCCCGCGGCGUAUUAGCUAGAUGGUGGGGUAACGGCUCACCAUGGCAAUGAUACGUAGCCGACCUGAGAGGGUAAUCGGCCACAUUGGGACUGAGACACGGCCCAAACUCCUACGGGAGGCAGCAGUAGGGAAUCUUCCACAAUGGACGAAAGUCUGAUGGAGCAACGCCGCGUGAGUGAAGAAGGGUUUCGGCUCGUAAAACUCUGUUGUUAAAGAAGAACAUAUCUGAGAGUAACUGUUCAGGUAUUGACGGUAUUUAACCAGAAAGCCACGGCUAACUACGUGCCAGCAGCCGCGGUAAUACGUAGGUGGCAAGCGUUGUCCGGAUUUAUUGGGCGUAAAGCGAGCGCAGGCGGUUUUUUAAGUCUGAUGUGAAAGCCUUCGGCUCAACCGAAGAAGUGCAUCGGAAACUGGGAAACUUGAGUGCAGAAGAGGACAGUGGAACUCCAUGUGUAGCGGUGAAAUGCGUAGAUAUAUGGAAGAACACCAGUGGCGAAGGCGGCUGUCUGGUCUGUAACUGACGCUGAGGCUCGAAAGUAUGGGUAGCAAACAGGAUUAGAUACCCUGGUAGUCCAUACCGUAAACGAUGAAUGCUAAGUGUUGGAGGGUUUCCGCCCUUCAGUGCUGCAGCUAACGCAUUAAGCAUUCCGCCUGGGGAGUACGGCCGCAAGGCUGAAACUCAAAGGAAUUGACGGGGGCCCGCACAAGCGGUGGAGCAUGUGGUUUAAUUCGAAGCUACGCGAAGAACCUUUACCAGGUCUUGACAUACUAUGCAAAUCUAGAGAUAGACGUUCCCUUCGGGGACAUGNUAACAGUGUGCAUGNNGUCGUCAGCUC
rnacentral:rRNA from 2 species